rnacentral:rRNA from 1 species
AGUGAACGCUGGCGGUAGGCCUAACACAUGCAAGUCGAACGGCAGCACAGUAAGAGCUUGCUCUUACGGGUGGCGAGUGGCGGACGGGUGAGGAAUACAUCGGAAUCUACUUUUUCGUGGGGGAUAACGUAGGGAAACUUACGCUCAUACCGCAUACGACCUACGGGUGAAAGCAGGGGAUCUUCGGACCUUGCGCGAUUGAAUGAGCCGAUGUCGGAUUAGCUAGUUGGCGGGGUAAAGGCCCACCAAGGCGACGAUCCGUAGCUGGUCUGAGAGGAUGAUCAGCCACACUGGAACUGAGACACGGUCCAGACUCCUACGGGAGGCAGCAGUGGGGAAUAGUGGACAAUGGGCGCAAGCCUGAUCCAGCCAUACCGCGUGGGUGAAGAAGGCCUUCGGGUUGUAAAGCCCUUUUGUUGGGAAAGAAAAGCAGCAGGUUAAUACCCCGCUGUUCUGACGGUACCCAAAGAAUAAGCACCGGCUAACUUCGUG